UUCCAUAUUGUAUGAUUCCAGGUGCAGCACCCGUCCUUCACUCCUGGGUGAAGCAGAAACCAGAGAGACCAGCUCCAAAGAAGAGAUGUUCUCCCACCAAGAAAAAGAAAGGAGCUUGUGGACUUAACAAAAUUGAUGAACCUGAGGACUCCUCCGCUUGUUGUUCGGAUCCUGGUCUCGACACCAACAUGGCUAUACUUCAACCUGACCUGGCAACAUCCCCAUCACCGACUGCACUGCCAUCACAGACCACAUCUUCACCAUGCUUACCUGACAAACUUUUAACCACCACUUGUACAGAACUACUGAAACUGUCAUGUUUAUUGAAGUGGCAUUGUAUUUACAUGUGUCUGAAGGUUACAAGAACAUGUACAUGUUUUUUCACAAAUAAAAAAAAAUGAUGAGAAGCAAC